rnacentral:rRNA from 1 species
AACGAACGCUGGCGGCAGGCUUAACACAUGCAAGUCGAGCGCCCCGCAAGGGGAGCGGCAGACGGGUGAGUAACGCGUGGGAAUCUACCGUGCCCUACGGAAUAGCUCCGGGAAACUGGAAUUAAUACCGUAUAUGCCCUACGGGGGAAAGAUUUAUCGGGGUAUGAUGAGCCAGCGUUGGAUUAGCUAGUUGGUGGGGUAAAGGCCUACCAAGGCGACGAUCCAUAGCUGGUCUGAGAGGAUGAUCAGCCACAUUGGGACUGAGACACGGCCCAAACUCCUACGGGAGGCAGCAGUGGGGAAUAUUGGACAAUGGGCGCAAGCCUGAUCCAGCCAUGCCGCGUGAGUGAUGAAGGUCUUAGGAUUGUAAAGCUCUUUCACCGGUGAAGAUAAUGACGGUAACCGGAGAAGAAGCCCCGGCUAACUUCGUGCCAGCCGCCGCCGUAACAC